rnacentral:rRNA from 1 species
CCUACGGGAGGCAGCAGUGGGGAAUCUUGCGCAAUGGGCGAAAGCCUGACGCAGCAACGCCGCGUGGGGGAAGAAGGCCUUCGGGUUGUAAACCUCUGUCAGGAGGGACGAAGCCACCUGGGUUAAUAGCCCAAGGGGUGACGGUACCUCCAAAGGAAGCCCCGGCUAACUACGUGCCAGCAGCCGCGGUAAUACGUAGGGGGCGAGCGUUGUCCGGAUUUAUUGGGCGUAAAGAGCGUGUAGGCGGCCUGUCAAGUCCGGUGUAAAAUGUCACGGCUUAACCGUGAACCUGCACUGGAAACUGUCAGGCUAGAGUCUGGAUGAGGAGAGUGAAAUUCCUGGUGUAGCGGUAAAAUGCGCAGAUAUCAGGAGGAAGGCCGGUGGCGAAGGCGGCCCUCUGGCGCUUGACUGACGCUGAGGCGCGAAAGCGUGGGGAGCAAACAGGAUUAGAUACCCUGGUAGU